UACGUAGGGUGCGAGCGUUAAUCGGAAUUACUGGGCGUAAAGCGUGCGCAGGCGGUUUUGUAAGCCAGAUGUGAAAUCCCCGGGCUUAGCCUGGGAAUGGCAUUUGGGACUGCAAGGCUGGAGUGCGGCAGAGGAGACUGGAAUUCCUGGUGUAGCAGUGAAAUGCGUAGAUAUCAGGAGGAACACCGAUGGCGAAGGCAGGUCUCUGGGCUGACACUGACGCUCAUGCACGAAAGCGUGGGGAGCAAACAGG
rnacentral:rRNA from 1 species